rnacentral:lncRNA from 1 species
GGCAUUCUGGUGGCUUCAAGGGACUUGGUGUCAGGAACCCUGGGGUGAAUUUCUGGAACUGCCUGCCUGACUCUGGGUGAAGAAUCACGAAAACCUACCCCGGAAACAAAGGAAUUAACACUGCAUGGAAACGAAUUGGAAUCGAAGUCAACGAAGGAAAGAAGACCAUGUUCUAGUUCAUGAAGAAUGAGGUAAAAAUGGAGUGAUUUUCAUUCUCCUGUUCUGUA